ACGACCAUACCCACUGGAAAACUCGGGAUCCCGUCCGCUCUCCCAUAGAUAAGCCAGUGAGGGCCGGAUUAGUAGUUGGGUCGGUGACGACCAGCGAAUACCUGGUGUUGUAUGUU
rnacentral:rRNA from 3 species